rnacentral:rRNA from 1 species
AUUAGGAAUCUUGCACAAUGGGGGAAACCCUGAUGCAGCGACGCCGCGUGCGGGAUGAAGGCAUUCGUGUCGUAAACCGCUUUUGACAGGGAAGAAGAAUGUGACGGUACCUGUCGAAUAAGCCCCGGCUAACUACGUGCCAGCAGCCGCGGUAAUACGUAGGGGGCGAGCGUUGUCCGAAGUUACUGGGCGUAAAGCGCGCGUAGGCGGUCCUUUAAGUCUGGUGUGAAAGGUUCGCGGCUCAACCGGAACAGUGCACUGGAUACUGGGGGACUUGAGUCUGGAAGAGGAAAGCGGAAUUCCUGGUGUAGCGGUGAAAUGCGUAGAUAUCAGGAGGAACACCGAUGGCGAAGGCAGCUUUCUGGUCUAAGACUGACGCUGAGGUGCGAAAGCGUGGGGAGCGAACGG